rnacentral:rRNA from 2 species
CCGAAUGGGGAAACCCAGUGUGACUCGUCACACUAUCAUUAACUGAAUCCAUAGGUUAAUGAGGCGAACCGGGGGAACUGAAACAUCUAAGUACCCCGAGGAAAAGAAAUCAACCGAGAUUCCCCCAGUAGCGGCGAGCGAACGGGGAGGAGCCCAGAGCCUGAAUCAGCAUGUGUGUUAGUGGAAGCGUCUGGAAAGGCGCGCGAUACAGGGUGACAGCCCCGUACACAAAAGCGCAUGUGCUGUGAGCUCGAUGAGUAGGGCGGGACACGUGGUAUCCUGUCUGAAUAUGGGGGGACCAUCCUCCAAGGCUAAAUACUCCUGACUGACCGAUAGUGAACCAGUACCGUGAGGGAAAGGCGAAAAGAACCCCGGCGAGGGGAGUGAAAAAGAACCUGAAACCGUGUACGUACAAGCAGUGGGAGCACCCUUUGGGGUGUGACUGCGUACCUUUUGUAUAAUGGGUCAGCGACUUAUAUUCUGUAGCAAGGUUAACCGAAUAGGGGAGCCGGAGGGAAACCGAGUCUUAAUUGGGCGUUAAGUUGCAGGGUAUAGACCCGAAACCCGGUGAUCUAGCCAUGGGCAGGUUGAAGGUUGGGUAACACUAACUGGAGGACCGAACCGACUAAUGUUGAAAAAUUAGCGGAUGACCUGUGGCUGGGGGUGAAAGGCCAAUCAAACCGGGAGAUAGCUGGUUCUCCCCGAAAGCUAUUUAGGUAGCGCCUCGUGAAUUCAUCUCCGGGGGUAGAGCACUGUUUCGGCUAGGGGGCCAUCCCGGCUUACCAACCCGAUGCAAACUGCGAAUACCGGAGAAUGUUAUCACGGGAGACACACGGCGGGUGCUAACGUCCGUCGUGAAGAGGGAAACAACCCAGACCGCCAGCUAAGGUCCCAAAGUCAUGGUUAAGUGGGAAACGAUGUGGGAAGGCCCAGACAGCCAGGAUGUUGGCUUAGAAGCAGCCAUCAUUUAAAGAAAGCGUAAUAGCUCACUGGUCGAGUCGGCCUGCGCGGAAGAUGUAACGGGGCUAAACCAUGCACCGAAGCUGCGGCAGCGA